CCUACGGGUGGCUGCAGUGGGGAAUAUUGGACAAUGGGGGGAACCCUGAUCCAGCCAUGCCGCGUGUGUGAAGAAGGCCCUCGGGUUGUAAAGCACUUUCAGUGAGGAAGAACGCCUGGUGGUUAAUACCCAUCAGGAAAGACAUCACUCACAGAAGAAGCACCGGCUAACUCCGUGCCAGCAGCCGCGGUAAUACGGAUGGUGCGAGCGUUAAUCGGAAUUACUGGGCGUAAAGCGCGCGUAGGUGGCUUGAUAAGCCGGUUGUGAAAGCCCCGGGCUCAACCUGGGAACGGCAUCCGGAACUGUCAAGCUAGAGUGCAGGAGAGGAAGGUAGAAUUCCCGGUGUAGCGGUGAAAUGCGUAGAGAUCGGGAGGAAUACCAGUGGCGAAGGCGGCCUUCUGGACUGACACUGACACUGAGGUGCGAAAGCGUGGGUAGCAAACAGGAUUAGAUACCCUUGUAGUC
rnacentral:rRNA from 1 species